GCAAUUAAAUCGUAAAUUUUUACAACUACAAAUUUACAGUUAUUAAAAACAUAAUUUGUUGUUGCUGCCUGCUAUUAUUAAUUACUACAACAGUUUGGUGUCACGCUUAAAAACAACGGGCCACGUUGGCGGCUUUUGCUGCAUUUGUGUUAACCAACUUCAUAUGGUGAAACUGUAAAACGCCUUCGGCCUUACCGGCUUUACUCCACCACUACCGCCAACUCCAUCUUCAUCUCAAGCUCUGAUUGAUGCCGUCCAUAACAGCGACAACAACAACAACAAUAAUAACCCAUUUGGCUUGAUUUAUUUUUAGCUUAUUUAUUUGUUAUUUGCUUUGAUGAAGCGACCAAACGGCGAUGGCAGAUGAUGAAGCAUGUUGAAGUGCAUUUGAAAAUCGUUUAAAUUUCUUGGCUAAGACCCAAACAUUUUGAAUGUUAAUCAAUUAAGUCGAUUUGUUUGGCCCGUGUUCGGUAUUUAGGCCUAAUAAGCAGCUAUGCGGAACUGCAAGCUUGCCCAAAUUUUUUCGCUAGUAGACUAAUUACUUUGGCACUCAGUCAACAGAGCGCACUUACUUCAUUGAGCCACUCGGCUUGCUUUCAUCUCGCUGGCAUCCAAUGCCAGCCAAAUCCAGUCAACUGCCAAACUCAUGGAUGUGGAUGUGGAUGUGGAUAUGGAUGUGGCAGUCGCUGUGGGUCACCGACAAAAGCCACCCGGUCAACCUACUUUGGCAGCACGCCACUGAGCCACUAGCCAAGCUGCGCCACUGAGCCAGGCCACGGCCACAAAAGGUGAUGAUGAGGUUGAUUACUUGGACUUGCAUUGGCGACUUUCCUUCUAAUUUGAGCUGUACAAAUAAUCAAAAUUUUUGGCGCGCGCUUUGUAGCAUUUAAUUUGGUUUCCAGCACGUUUCGGCUUUAAUUGAAACCGAUUUUCGGACUCCAUUUGUGGCCACGGAGUGAGUGCGAGUGCACUUUACUGGGUGUCAAAUUGGGCGCACGUUUUUGGACCAACUUUCACCCGAUCCGAAGGCGUUGGCUAGGGCAGCAGUUGCUGCCCAUUUGAUUGGCUCAUUUCCCAGGAUUACAGCAACAAAUUCCCUAAAUGCGGUGUUCUUUCCCCUAUAUCGCGAUCUGAAUGGCUUAAAUAUAUACAUAUGAAUUUGUUAAAAAAUCUAACCGAACCCGAACCCGAAUCCGAACCCGAAAAACCGGCGUUAAAUCAUCUAAAAGUUGCACACGCGCCAACAUCAAUACCGAGGCUGUCAGCACUUGACCCAAUGCCCAGACAAUAGCUUUAAUUUCGAGCUGUCCAAUUGUUUUUUGCUUUUUUUUUUUUGUUUUCAGCUUGAACCGCGUUGCGGG